AGUGAAUAGAUACCCGGGUAGUCCACGCUGUAAACGAUGGGUACUAGGUUUGGUGGGUCUUGACCCCCGCCGAAACCGGAGCUAAACGCACUAAAGUACCCCGCCUGGGAAGUACGGUCGCAAGACUAAAACUCAAAGGAAUUGACGGGGGCCCGCACAAGCGGUGGAUCAUGUGGUUUAAUUCGAAGCAACGCGAAGAACCUUACCUGGGUUUGACAUCCCCGGACCGGCGUAGAGAUACGCCUUUCGUAGCAAUACGACUGGGAGACAGGUGCUGCAUGGCUGUCGUCAGCUCGUGUGGUGACAUGUUGGGUUAAGUCCCGCAACGAGCGCAACCCUUGUCUUUAGUUGCCAGCAUUCAGUUGGGCACUCUAAAGAGACUGCCGUGGUUAACACGGAGGAAGGUGGGGAUGACGUCAAGUCCUCAUGGCCUUUAUAUCCAGGGCGACACACGUGAUACAAUGGUUGGUACAGAGGGAUGCGAAAGCGCGAGCUGGAGCUAAUCUCAAAAAAGCCAAUCUCAGUUCGGAUUGGAGUCUGC
rnacentral:rRNA from 1 species